rnacentral:SRP_RNA from 1 species
AGACGUGUGCUCUGAGCCACUCGCCAACCGGGUCAGGUCCGGAAGGAAGCAGCCCUAACGAGGUCCGGAUCGGGUCGCUCGUCAGUCU